rnacentral:lncRNA from 1 species
AGGUGUGGGAGAACCUGGGAUUUGUUCCCUUCAGGAAUUUCAGCCCGGUGCUUCUCCAAGUGUGGGAGGACCUGGGGUUUGUACCUCAGGAGGUGCUUCAGGUGUGUGGGAGAACCUGGGGUUUGUUCCCUUGAGGAAUUUCAGCCUGGUGCUUCUCCAAGUGUGUCCCCAUGUGUGGGAGAACCUGGGGUUUGUGCCUUUGGAGGUGCUCCAAGUGUGGAGAACCUGGGGCUUGUGCCUCUGGAGCUGCUCCAAGUGUGGAGAACCUGGGGUUUGUGCCUCUGGAGCUGCUCCAAGUGUGGGAGAACCUGGGGUUUGUGCCUCUGGAAGUGCUCUCUGUGUGUGUGGGAAGAACCUGGGGUUUGUGCCUCUGGUGCUUCUACACGUGUUGGAGGAUCUGGGGUUUGUUCCUCUGGAGGUGCUCCAAGUGUGGGAGAACCUGUGGUUUGUUCCUCUGGAGGUGCUUCAGGUGUGUGGGAGAACCUGGGGUUUGUUCCCUUCAGGAAUUUCAGCCUGGUGCUUCUCCAAGUGUGGGAAAACCUGGGGUUUGUUCCCUUGAGGAAUUUCAGCCCGGUGCUUCUCCAAGUGUGGGGGAAACUGGGGUUUGUGCAUCUGGAGCUGCUCCAAGUGUGGGAGAACCUGGGGUUUGUUCCCUUGAGGAAUUUCAGCCUGGUGCUUCUCCAAGUGUGGGGGAAACUGGGGUUUGUGCCUCUGGAAGUGCUGUGUGUGUGGGGGGGAACUGGGGUUUGUGCAUCUGGAGGUGCUCCAAGUGUGGGAGAACCUGGGGUUUGUGCAUCUGGUGCUUCUACACGUGUUGGAGAACCUGGGGUUUGUGCCUCUGGACCUGCUCCAAGUGUGGGAGAACCUGGAGUUUGUUCCCUUGAGGAAUUUCAGCCUGGUGCUUCUCCAGGUGUGGGGGAAACUGGGGUUUGUGCAUCUGGAGGUGCUUCAGGUGUGUGGGAAGAACCUGGGGUUUGUGCCUCUGGUGCUUCUACACAUGUUGGAGAACCUGGGGUUUGUUCCUCUGGAGGUGCUCUGUGUGUGUGGGAGAACCUGGGGUUUGUUCCUCUGGAGGUGCUUCAGGUGUGUGGAGAACCUGGGGUUUGUUCCCUUGAGGAAUUUCAGCCUGGUGCUUCUCCAAGUGUGGGGGAAACUGGGGUUUGUGCCUCUGGAAGUGCUCCAAGUGUGGGAAAACCUGGGGUUUGUGCAUCUGGAGGUGCUCCAAGUGUGGGAAAACCUGGGGUUUGUUCCCUUGAGGAAUUUCAGCCUGCUGCUUCUCCAAGUGUGUCCCCAUGUGUGGGAGAACCUGGGGUUUGUUCCUCUGGAGGUGCUUCAGGUGUGUGGGAGAACCUGGGGUUUGUGCCUCUGGUGCUUCUACACAUGUUGGAGAACCUGGGGUUUGUUUCUCUGAGGAAUUUCAGCCUGCUGCUUCUCCAAGUGUGGGAGAACCUGGGCUUUGUUCCUCUGGAGGUGCUCCAAGUGUGUCCCUUGCACGUUGGAGGAGCUGGGGUUUGUUCCUCUGAGGAAUUUCAGGCUGGUGCUUCUCCAAGUGUGUCCCCACACACAGGAGAACCUGGGUUUGCAUGUGGGAGAAUGUGGGGUUUGUUCCUCUGGAGCUUCUCCAAGUGGGAAAGGAUCUGGGGUUUGUUCCUCUGAGGAAUUUCUCCACGUGUCCAAACAUCUGGGAGAACCUGGGGUUUGUUCCUCUGAGGAAUUUCAGCCUGAUGUUUCUCCAAGUGUGGGAGAACCUGGGGUUUGUUCAUCUGGAGCUGCUCCACGUCUGGGAGAACCUGGGCUUUGUUCCUUGAAGAAUUUCAGCCUGGUGUUUCUCCAAGUGUGGGAGAACCUGGGGUUUGUACCUCUGGAGCUGCUCCAAAUGUGAUCCUACAUCUGGGAGAACCUGAGGUUUGUUCCUCUGGUGCAGUUUCUCUCCCAGCCUGUGGGAGUUUGUUCCUCUAAGGAAUUGCUCCACAUGUGGAAGAAUCUNNNNNNNNNNNNNNNNNNNNNNNNNNNNNNNNNNNNNN